CCUUGUACACACCGCCCGUCAAGUCAUGGAGCCGGUAGAGCCCAAAGUCGCCACGAUACUGUGGUGCCCACGGCAAGAUCGGUGACUGGGACU
rnacentral:rRNA from 1 species